rnacentral:rRNA from 1 species
AUUGAACGCUGGCGGAAUGCUUUACACAUGCAAGUCGAACGGCAGCACGGACUUCGGUCUGGUGGCGAGUGGCGAACGGGCGCGUAAUGUAUCGGAACGUGCCCCGUCGUGGGGGAUAACGUAGGGAAAAUUACGCUAAUACCGCAUACGAUCUAGGGAUGAAAGCGGGGGAUAGCAAGACCUCGCGCGAUUGGAGCGGCCGAUAUCAGAUUAGGUAGUUGGUGGGGUAAAGGCCCACCAAGCAAACGAUCUGUAGCUGGUCUGAGAGGACGACCAGCCACACUGGAACUGAGACACGGUCCAGACUCCUACGGGAGGCAGCAGUGGGGAAUUUUGGACAAUGGGCGAAAGCCUGAUCCAGCCAUUCCGCGUGCAGGAUGAAGGCCCUCGGGUUGUAAACUGCUUUUGUACAGAACGAAAAGGUUUCUACUAAUACUAGGAGCUCAUGACGGUACUGUAAGAAUAAGCACCGGCUAACUACGUGCCAGCAGCCGCCGUAA